rnacentral:rRNA from 1 species
UCCGUUGAGCGUCGUU